rnacentral:rRNA from 1 species
UGGGGAAUAUUGCACAAUGGGCGCAAGCCUGAUGCAGCCAUGCCGCGUGUAUGAAGAAGGCCUUCGGGUUGUAAAGUACUUUCAGCGAGGAGGAAGGCGGUAAGGUUAAUAACCUUAUCGAUUGACGUUACUCGCAGAAGAAGCACCGGCUAACUCCGUGCCAGCAGCCGCGGUGAUACGGAGGGUGCAAGCGUUAAUCGGAAUUACUGGGCGUAAAGCGCACGCAGGCGGUCUGUCAAGUCGGAUGUGAAAUCCCCGGGCUCAACCUGGGAACUGCAUUCGAAACUGGCAGGCUAGAGUCUUGUAGAGGGGGGUAGAAUUCCAGGUGUAGCGGUGAAAUGCGUAGAGAUCUGGAGGAAUACCGGUGGCGAAGGCGGCCCCCUGGACAAAGACUGACGCUCAGGUGCGAAAGCGUGGGGAGCAAACA